CGUUUUCACUCGAUUAAUAUUUUAUUUUAACUUUGUUUCUGUAAAAAAACAUGGAUGUAUUAUAAGAACUGGAUAGAGCACCGCCCCUCUGGUUCCGUUCAUUCCUAUGGAGUUGCUCACCCAGCACAUAUGCCAAAAAGGUCAAGUAGGUCCAGCUGCAGACCCGCAGACCACUCAACGACACACACCCCCACUCAACGACACACCCCCUCACACUACACGACACUCUGAUUGGGUUACAGAAGAAACUGCGUCUGAAACUUGAUGACGUUUACGUUGACCAAGUAUGAAGAGAGAGAGAGUCGGGAAAACACGGGAAAAACGGUCCAAAAUGACGGAGGAAAAGAGCAACACUACGUUCAGUAAUGGAUCAGGCCCUGAGCUGAGGAGAUGCGAUUGUGCCAAACAAAGAGGAGCUUGUGUCUCAUCUGCAGGGACAACGACGGUCACGUGUAGAGUACGGUGGAUACAGUGUAUACAAAUGCCUCCUUGACUGUGUGCAAAGCCAUGAUCACUGUGGCUUUGUGAAAAAUGUUUUGUCCGUCAGUUUAAACUCUGCUGCAAGACGGCAACCACAAAUAUUACUGCAACUGUGGCGUCCACGGUGACUCCGGCGUCCACGGUGACUCCGGCGUCCAUUCCAGCAUCCACGGUGACUCCGGCGUCAACGGUGACUCCGGCGUCCACGGUGACUCCGGCGUCCACUCCAGCAUCCACGGUGACUCCGGCGUCCACGGUUACUCCGGCGUCCACUCCAGCAUCCACGGUGACUCCGGCGUCCACUCCAGCAUCCACGGUGACUCCGGCGUCCACUCCAGCAUCCACGGUGACUCCGGCGUCCACAGCAGACCAUCAGAAAGAAACAUGUAUGUUUACUAUGGUGCCAGAGGACACUGAAGACCAUCCCUACAGCAAAGACUUGGAAAGGCCCAACAAGCCAAACAGCAACCGUGUGACUCCAGUUGUCUGUUAAUUAAUGUCAUUACUCAGGAUGAAGGCAUGCUGCAAUACCGUAAGAAAAUCAUCAGAGGCAACAUUGUGUCUCCCUGGGCCAAGAAGGAGGACAGGGUCUUCAUUCUUUUUGAAGAUGAUGACCAAGUGGACCAGGUGAUGCACUUCUUGUCUGGAGUGGUUGAAAGUCCACAGACAGAUAAGAAGUCUGCAGAUCCUGUGGCUUCAAUCAUACAGAGCUGUACUCUCCAUCUCCCUGGACAAAGACAAAGACUGAAUUUCUUGAAUUUCCUUCGGGAUCAAUAAAGUAUCUAUCUAAGACAUGGACACAUGUGGAACUCAGUUUGACUCCAGGUAAACUGAUCAUUUAGGAAACUGUUAAUCCAAUUUUCACAACAGUUUAUAUCCCAUAAUGUAUGUGAGUGUCAUUAAUGACUUCAUUAUUUUGUUAUAUCAUUUUGUCUCAUCAGCGAGAUAACUCAGCUUCAGAGCCACAUGUCCAAGCAAGGCUCAAACUGAAAGCCUUAGAGAGUGAGGACUUUGUUGUUAGGCGCCUGUAAUCCCUGACAACUUUUUGAAAAAUGUAAAUAGUUAAUUGUCUGCUAUGCAUACAAAUAAAAACGAUAUAUCAAUCA